UUUGGCGCCUAUAGCGAAGGGGCAACACCCGUUCCCAUUCCGAACACGGCCGUUAAGACCUUCAGUGCCGAUGAUACUGUGUUUACUCACGGGAAAGUAGGGCGGCGCCAAAA
rnacentral:rRNA from 2 species